UUUUCCGAUCAUUUCUUUGGGCCGUCAUUCCCUUCCACGCCGUGUCUGUUUCUCUAUUCACUGAAAGAGGAAGAGCUAGGGGAGGUCGGAGAGAACGCUGAGGAGACCGACGGAUCGAGGAGGCCGGGGAAGUUACCGGCACCGGCGGGCAGGGGAUAUGCCAUCAGUGAGCAUAUGUUCCGAAGUUCUGAGAGUGCAUUGGAUGAUUUGGUUUGAACCAUUGCUUCAGUAUUUGCAUAUGAAGGUAAAUUUAAUCCCCUUAUGGUUAUUCAGUGUCCGACCGUGUCUAAUCCAGUGUUGAGAGCCACGAGCAAAACAACGCAUCAAGUGAGGAAGUACCAAAAUCUGAUUUUUAUUCAUCCGUUAGCUAUUAAUUUCCUCUAAAUUGUGGAAAAACCGGUGCUGUCAAGGAUUUUGAAGAGGAUCCUGCAGGUGCCCUUGGGGAUGUAUUCAAACUACCAGCAAUGCUGAGGAACACGGCGACGUAGUCCACUUAUCAUUUGUUGAAGCCUGCCAUGUACACCUUGAGGCGUUAGCCUAUGACGUCUACGAGGAUCGUGUGGCGGGCAUCCACGCCCACUUGGAGUAAUGGGUUAUCAUGCCGGCGGGAGUUUCCUCUUUCACUAAGUUCUGUUUUCUCUUUGACCAGUCCUCAAUUAUCAUUCUUCAGCUUUCAUUUUCCUCAUUAUGCUCAGUUUCUUCAGCCCCUCAUUAUCAUUUGUUCAGUCAUACUAGUCACCAUUCUAGUAUCCCAUCCUCUCAGUUUACCUCUUAUUUCUUCAGUUUAGCCAUUCUUGGUCUUAUUUGUUCAGUCACUCUUCUCUUAGUAUUAUCAUUCUUAGUCUAUCAGUUUAGCAAAUAUUUGUUCAAUCUUCUUUCUUUAGUUUAUUGUGUAUUGUCAGUCUUGUUUGCUCAGUCAGUCUUCUAUCAGUCUUAUCUCCAGUUUUAAGUAUUCUUCAGAUAUUAGUCUUUCUAUAAAUUAUCAUUAACCCAGGCAUUCAGUUUUUCAGCCUUAGUCUUCGUUCUCAUUUUUUAGCUUUGAUUCUCUCAUAUUUUUGGAGUUUCGUUAUUUCCCUUCAGUCUUUGAUUCUCUAAGUUGUCUCAUUUUUGUUCAUUCCUCGUUGCUUAGUCCUUUCUUCUUCAGUUUAUCUAUGUCUCUUUCUUCAGUUCAUGUUUGUCUCUUUCAAGCUUUUUCUUCAUUCUUCAUUCUUCAUUAUUUAUCUUCUCUCUUGGAUUCCUCUUUGCUCAGUCAUUCCUUCUCCAGCUCAUCUAUGUCAUUUUAUUACUUUCUGUUCUUUAUUUGCUCAAUCUUGCCUUCUUCAUUAUCUCAGUUUCUUUCUCCGUUUUAUGAUUAGUAUUUUCUGUUCACCGUGUGCUCCCUCGACUACGCGGAAGAAGAUGAUGACAACCAUGGCCAUUUGUUAGUAAGUAGCUUUGUUAGUAUCUCAGUUCCGCGCACUUUUUUAGUCUGCGGUAUUGUUUAAGUACACGCCCCUUUUUCAUUUUUUAGCUUGCUUAGAAAUUUCUUGUGCCCGGAUCGGUCAUUGAUAGGGUCAUGAUUCGUACAUUCUUCCAGAUGUAACAUCCAACGAACAAGUCCAAUUGGCCUUGCACUUAAGCUCUAGGAACUGAUACUUCUAAAUUAUUAUAUAUCUAUGUUAUGGUCGGUCUGACCUAUACACGUAGGAAGCCCACUAGUGGCUAGUUAUGGGCUUAGCCCAAGUAAAUUAGGGGCUUAGCCCAAGUAAAUUAGGGUUUCGAGGAGGCCGUCCUCCUAUAUAAACACUUGUAUCCCUUCAAGAUUAAUCAGACAAUAAUUCAGUAUCA